rnacentral:lncRNA from 1 species
GGACCUAGAAAAACUCAAAACUCUUGUUAAACCCAACAGGUAAUAGCACAUCAGUUCAUCCAACCCAGAAAAGGGCGACAUUUUUUCACUUUCUCCCUCAACCGCCGGUAGCAUGCGUUAGCAGAACAGAACAAACUGAACAGAGUAUCUGCAAGCAAAGCAAGAAUAAUGAAGAAAAGGAAACGAUUCUGAUUCCGAUUGAAAAGAAUGAAGAAGAUUGAUAUUCCGAAACCGUUAAGGGAUUAAUCUCACUUUUGGAGAGUCCCAAUAGAAAAGUUUUUAUCUCCGCUUGCAAUACACUCUUGGAUUUCUCUACCACCGCUUUCGCCCAACAACAAUUUCCCAGGAAAAUUGAUGCUGUUUGAGAUUCCCAAUUGAAGGGAUUGGGGUUUUGAUUCGGCAGCGUUGCGAUGACAUAAGGUUUGCUACAGAGAUGACAACAAAAGCUUUGAUGACGACGGCGAUAGAAACUCUUUGCACGACGGCGGCGACAGAGUAUGUGGAUGGUGCUAAAAAGUUGCACGACGGCGGCGAUUGAAGCAUCAAUUUCUUCUUCUCUUUUUUGUUACGAGGUUCAAUUGUUUGUGGUUUUUUUUUUUAUGGAUGGUGUUAAUAACUAGUUUAGUUUUAAACUGGUUUAAUUGUUUUUCAACCGGUUUUGAUAAUUUAGAUCCAAUCCAUUUCAUUGAUGCUGUUUGAGAUCCAAUCCAUUCCAUUUCAACCGGUUUUUCCUUUCCUUAU